rnacentral:rRNA from 1 species
GGACUACUAGGGUUUCUAAUCCUGUUUGCUCCCCUUGCUUUCGCGCCUCAGCGUCAGUGUUAGCCCAGAAAACCGUCUUCACCACCGGUGUUCUUCCACAUAUCUACGCAUUUCACCGCUACACGUGGAAUUCCGUUUUCCCUAACUAAACUCUAGUUUAGAAGUUUCAAAUGCAGCUCCGGGGUUGAGCCCCGGAAUUUCACAUCUGACUUUCUAAACCGCCUACGCGCCCUUUACGCCCAGUAAUUCCGAUCAAUGCUUGCACCCUCCGUAUUACCGCGGCGGCUGGCAC